GAUGAAGAACGUAGCGAAAUGCGAUAAGUAAUGUGAAUUGCAGAAUUCAGUGAAUCAUCGAAUCUUUGAACGCACCUUGCGCCCUUUGGCCAUUCCGAAGGGCAUGCCUGUUUGAGUAUCAUGAACACCUCAACUCUUCAUGGUUUUCCGUGAUGAGCUUGGACUUUGGGGGUCUUGCUGGCCUAUGGUCAGCUCCUCUAAAAUAAAUCAGCUUGCCAGUGUUUGGUGGGUAUCACAGGUGUGAUAACUAACUACGCUUGUGGUUUUCCACCAGGUAACCUUCAGCAGUGGAGGUUCGCUGGAGCUCACAGAUGUGUCUCUCCUCAGUGAGGACAGCUCUUUGAAUGUUUGAUCUCAAAUCAGGUAGGACUACCCGCUGAACUUAAGCAUAUCAAUAAGCGGAGGA
rnacentral:misc_RNA from 1 species